GACGAACGCUGGCGGCGUGCUUAACACAUGCAAGUCGAACGAAGUGGCGAACGGGUGAGUAACGCGUAAUCAACCUGCCCUUCAGAGGGGGCCAACAGUUGGAAACGACUGCUAAUACCGCAUACUGAAGGAGGGGCUUGCGUCUGAUUAGCUAGUUGGAGGGGUAACGGACCACCAAGGCGAUGAUCAGUAGGCGGUCGGAGAGGAGGAGAGGCCAAAUGGGGAGUGGGACACGGCCCAGACGCCUACGGGAGGCAGCAGUGGGGAAUCUUCCGCAAUGGAAGAAAGUCUGACGGAGCAACGACGCGUGAGUGAUGACGGACUUCAGGUUGUAAAGCUCUGUUAAUCGGGACGCGGUACCGGAAUAGAAAGCCACGGCUAACUCCGUGCCAGCAGCCGCGGUAAUUC
rnacentral:rRNA from 1 species